AGAAUCAACAUUAUUAAGAAGAUUUGUAUUUAUAUAAUGGAGAAGCUAAGCACAUUGCUCAUCAUUAUACAAAGAAGCAAUGUAAUUAUAAAAUGAAGAGCACAACUACCUAAGAAGAUAAUGUGUUUGAAAAUGAAUUUUUCUAGCCACAAUAGGAACCGUGCAGCUGGAAUCAUGUACAAGACCUAGUAAAGGUCUUAUUUUCUUCUCAUACCCCUCA
rnacentral:lncRNA from 1 species